rnacentral:rRNA from 1 species
CCUACGGGCGGCAGCAGUGAGGAAUAUUGGUCAAUGGACGCAAGUCUGAACCAGCCAUGCCGCGUGCAGGAAGACGGCUCUAUGAGUUGUAAACUGCUUUUGUACGAGGGUAAACGCAGAUACGCGUAUCUGUCUGAAAGUAUCGUACGAUGAAGGAUCGGCUAACUCCGUGCCAGCAGCCGCGGUAAUACGGAGGAUUCAAGCGUUAUCCGGGUUUAGUGGGUUUAAAGGGUGCGUAGGCGGUCGGAUAAGUUAGAGGUGAAAUCCCGGGGCUCAACUUCGGAAUUGCCUCUGAUACUGUUCGGCUAGAGAGUAGUUGCGGUAGGCGGAAUGUAUGGUGUAGCGGUGAAAUGCUUAGAGAUCAUACAGAACACCGAUUGCGAAGGCAGCUUACCAAGCUACUUCUGACGUUGAGGCACGAAAGCGUGGGGAGCAAACAGGAUUAGAUACCCUUGUAGUC